GGAUGUGAGGGUGAUCUGGCUGCAACAUCUGUCACUCCAUUGAUCGCUGGGGUUGAUUUGGCUGAUCUGGCUGGCUAGGCGGGUGUCCCCUCCCUCCCUCAUCAUUCUAUGUGCAUCUCUCCUGAAGCUGUGUGCUUGGUCAAAGAGGAGAGCCUUUUUUGAAGAGACGGACCAGUCUUCGGUCGAGGGUAUACAAGUAGCUGGGCUCCCCUGCUAGAACCUCUAAACAAGUUCUCAAGAAGCAGGAAUUGUUCAAGAACUGGGAGGAUGGUGGGGAGUUGGUUCCAACUGGACUCUGAAGCUUUAGAGCUUAUUCUU
rfam:Erinaceus europaeus unplaced genomic scaffold scaffold00434, whole genome shotgun sequence